UCUACCCACCCUACAAAAGAACCGACAUUCCCUCUUUUAUUAUUUUUUUCCAUUCUCAUUCCCUUUCUGCAUAUCCUUCUUUUUAGUUUCUUCUUUUCUCUAAAAUAUGUGAAAUUUCCACUGGCAUCGACGAGGACAUCUCACGACCCUGUCGCCGACAUCGACAAGUACAUCUCAUGACCCAAUCACCGGCAAACCGGCAAGAACGCCUACAAUCUAGCCACAAGCAAGAACGUCUCACGACUCGGCAAGAACUUCACGCGACCCAACCUCAAACCAGAACUCACGACCCAUCCGUCGCCAAGAACUCACAAGCUCAGUGUUCUCUUUUGUUCUCUCUAGUAUUUGAUUUGAUAUGGGGAAAGGCGCAUGUGUUUCGGACAAGAAAUGUUAGAAAGGUUAUAGAGACAAGAAAAUUCAAAUGAUGAUGAAACUCUCAAAGAUUAGCCCAACAACUCAACAACAAUCAUCUUGAGGAUCAAUUUACAAAUGUCAACUUGGCAAAUAUCCCAUUUAAGUAUGAUGUAGUUGAACCUUCACCAAGGCCAAAUGAAACUGAAUCACAACAUAAAAAGGAGCCAUUACUUAUCAAAGUUAAAGGAAAAGAUAUCAGAGAACUUGUCUCAAGAUCAAAAACGUGUUGCCACUGAAGGUGUUCCAUUAAAGAAUAAUACUUAUCCAAAUGAUGUUAUUGGAAAAGUGUAUGAAGCUCAUUCAAGUCGAGUGCGUGGAUCAGGUGUUUGCCCCAUGAGUGUUUUUUAAAACGCACAAACAUUUCACUCAAUUAGGCAAUGCCAGUAGCUUUAGUCAAAAAAUGUUGAGGACUUACAGAAGGAAGUGCACACUUUGGAAGAAAAUCUAAAUGGAUAUGAAGAGGCUAAUGAACAACUUUAACAAACACUAAAUCAACUUAAAGUUCUCCUUAAUUUUAUGCAAAGCAAAUUUGGUGAUGAGUUACCAACUUUCAUCCAAGAGUCAGGGGGACAUGAGGGAUAUUUGUGUCAAGUUCUACAAGUACUGAAGGAGCAUCAAUUGUAUGCAAAUCUAGGAAAAUGUUAAUUUUGAUUGGAAGAAGUGAAGCUUUUGAAGGUGCAAACACGAAAAGGAGAGGAGUUGAAUUGUAUUUCCCAACGUUGAUAACUUUUUUUCUAAUUUGAUGAAGGUUGGUUGGUUUUUA